UUUUCGAAUGUAUCCUGCUCUGUCGCUGUCAGUGUUUUUCACUGCGUGAGAACAUGAUGUGUGGUAUGAGAGCACCAUGGCUUGACGGACGUAGCAACAGUAACUAAGGGGGGGGGGGUCUUUGUGAAGGAUCAGUUUCAUUGUAAUAUGCUUGAACUGCUCUGUCGUGCCGAUAAUGUAGUAAGUAUGGAGGGAAGAGAUGUUGAAUAUUUGAUCGCCAACAAAUUUACAAAGCUCCCUUUUGAGCAGCAGAUAAAAAUAAAAACUGAAGGACGACCCACGCCGAAGCUGGAAAUAAAACAGUCUUAAUUGUUGACGGCUGAACGCGCUGUUUUAGAACAGAAUUAUUAUUAUUUUGCAAAGCGUUAGCCAGUGGCUAAUGUUAAUAGAUGAUAAAUACGCCUUGAAGAAUCGAAGGAGAUGGGUGUAUUCUACCACAGAGUCAUAGACACCUUCGCUGCUAAAAAGGACAGGAGGAUGGAUUCAUUCUUCAAGUAACAGCUGUUUGGACUCUCAUUCUGACGGCACCCAUUCACUGCAGAGCAUCCAUUGAUGAGACACUGAUGCAGUGCUGCAUUUCUACAAACCUGAUGAAGAAACACACUCAUCCUGAUCGCAGAUGAACUGAGGUGAGCACAUUUCCAGCUAAUGCUCAUUUUUGGGCGAACUAUUCCUUUAAAGUGCAUGAAGUAAGAGUCUGGUUACCUAACCACCAUCACUUUACAAACAUGACAUUCUCUUAGCAGCAGGAAAUCUCUUCUCAGCUCUUCUAAAUUCCUGUGGCAUGUCUGUCUAGUUUUUCUCAUAUGGGUUUUGGGAUG
ensembl:lncRNA